GGCUGUUCCUCAUGAAUACCUGUUGUAGAGGAGCUAUCCAACCUGAAAACAGGGAGAAUGUGACCUUUAAGCAACAUGAUAAGAGGAAGCAAAUCAAGAAAGGAUCUUGGGAGAACUUACAUAUCCCAGCAUGGUACUUCAAAGUACUGACGCUGUGCUUGUGAGCCUUGUAUGUUCGGAUUCGCUCCCCAGUAUCCGCCAACCAACAUUUCACUGUCCUGUCAGCACUCCCUGAAUACAAACAUCGAUUCACCAGCUAAGAGGGAAAAGACAAGAAACAAGUACUUUCAUGAGAGAGUGUCUUUGGGAGCCACAGUCAUCUUCAAACCAAGAGGAAAAGAAGACAUAAAUAACACUCAUUCUCAUAGAAUCAUAAAGUUAGAAGAGACCACAUAAGCCAUCCAGCUCAACCCCUGGCCAUGCAGGACAAGGAGUCAAAGCAACCCAACAGAUGGUCAUCAUGGCAUAAUUAUGGGAGUUAUAGUUUUGCAAGAUGUUUAACCUUCUGUGCCAAAGAGUGCUGGGGCUUCACCAAACUACAGCUCCCAUUCAUGUAGAGCAGUGGUUCCCAACCUGUGGUCUGUGGACCACCAGUGGUCCGCAAGAACUAAAAUAUGGUCCGAGGCCUCACCGUCACUACUACUGAUAAUAACACAGCCCAACCCAACUUUUUUUCUUGGUGUUUUCAUUUUAAGGCCUGUUCCUGGGGUUAUUUGGGUUGCUGAUGCAGAAAAUUGCAUUGGAUAGACCACAUCGGUUCUAGAAUAUGGUUUUUUGUGGACAAGUAGAUGUCGACUACUGGAUGGCAUAUGUUCUGCAUCAGAAACUAGAGCUGAUGUGGUCUAUCCAAUGCAGUUUUCUGAAUCGGCACCCCAAAUAACCAAAAUGAAUCUAAAAUUGACCAAAAACUGAUUCGUAACCCUUUUGGUACUAAUGUUGGAAAGUGGUCCCUGGUCAAAGUGGUCCCUGGACAAGUGGUUCCUGGUCAAAAAAGGUUGGGAACCACUGAUGUAGAGCGAUGGUAACAUAAUGACUUAGCAACUUCCCAAGUGGGGCAGGUAGCAAGCCACACUUUCUGCUGUCCAACAUACUUUAGAGCUCAUAGUAUUAACUGGAUGAAAGCAAGAAGGAACAAGGUUUUUUGCAAGAUCCUUCUUAAGGGUUUAAAAGUACGAUCAAUUUAAAUAAGCUGAGAAUUGGAACUUCCUCAGGACAAAUCACCCCCAUCCAACCUAUCAGCAAGGUAUUUCUGUACUACUUCAAUCAAUUACUAGUUUUAUCCUCCUUCAUUCUUCCAUUGAAUUUAGGUAAAUAACAGAACACACAAGUUAUCUCCCAUUAGUGUCAGAUUUUGGUAGCUUUAGCAAGGCAGUUGCAUCAUGUUCCUUCAUACCAUCCUACUGCACACAUUUUCCUAAUUCUAUUUCUACAAAUAACUCUGAACAACAAUUUCAAUAGAUGUCGAUUACACUAUGUAACAGUUUUUGUUCCUGAGCUGUGAAUGUCAUUUCCUAAUUGGAUCUACAUGUAAACAUGGAAAACGUUUCUUAAAUUGCAAAAACUUUGUUUUUGUGGGACACCCUGUAGCACAUUUUGCUAUAGAUUUCAAUUGGUGUCUCAACCAAUUCAACAUAGUUUGUGGCAGACACAAAAAUGAAGUUUCUGGAGUACAACAACUACUUUCGAAGUAAGUAUUGUACAAUUAAACAGGAAAUAACACUUUCAAACCAGGAACAGAAAAAUCAAAUUUUAUAAUGUGUUGUUGUUGUUGUUGUUGUUAUGGCAUGCACUUUGGGAGGCAACACAGAUACUCCUAGAGUGACACCUUUUAAUAUGUGGAGAGAUAAGAUACCAAUGUUGGUCCAAUAUCAGAUUAUUUGUAGGAAGAGCUGUACGUAAUUUAAAAAGCUAUGCAUUUCAUUAAAGAGAUCCUACACCAUCACUUUCUCCUA